rnacentral:lncRNA from 1 species
AUACCUUAAAUAUCUUACAAUUUUAUUUGUCCAUCAUACCUCAGUACAGCUGGGAAAAAAAACAAAGUGCAGAAUAUCUAUAAAACUCAUACCCAAAAUAAUUUUAACCUUCCAUGAAUUUUUUACAAUAAAAAAUUUAUGAAAGAUUGUGUUAUUGUCUGAUCAGUUCAUUCAAGGAGUAUGUUUGAGAAAGUGUAUGCUUUACAAGCACACAUUUUACAGUUUCCUUGUACUGACUAGCCCUCUGGAAUAAGUGAGAAUUGUGUGACAGAAAGCCCAGAGGCAGAAAAUAACAAGUGCUUUAAAAACAAUGCUCCAAAAAAAUAACUCCUCAUAACCACUUCAUUUCCUGCCUAUGCCACUAUACGUUUCAGAUUUGAACCUGGGUACAUUAUUACCCAUACAUUAUACCCUAUGCAUGUCACUACAAACCUCUUCCUACCUUUACUUAUGUACUCAUGGUUCCUUCUGCUGAUUUUCACACCGUGAGUGACUAAAUCUUGAUUUCUUCUCUUGCAUAUGUAGCAAUGUUUCUCACAGUUUAUAUGAAUUAGUUUAUACAAAUCAGGGGUGUGCAGUAUUGAAGUUAUCUUAUUAAUUUGUAUUAAAAGUAAAAAUUUUAUUAAAUUUUUAAAAUUAAAAUUUUUAUUAAAGUUGGCAAUUCCAGUUGUGUUUAACAUAUCCCAAUAACUGUUCCUGAUUUAAAAAGAAAAUUGAAACCUUAAAGUAGCUUAAAAACUUAAUAUCUAUUAGAAAUCAUUUUAAAGUAUAGUUUUUCCUUGGGGUUAGUGAGAUCCUAUGAAGCAAAGGAACCUUAUUAAGAGGACAUCUCCUUGGGAACAUAUAGGAAAAUUAAAAACUCCUUAAUUUUUCCAAAAUACAAAAAGAUAUAAGUACCUUACUGGUUACAGAACAACAGCAAACCUUGGCUUUUACCCAACAGUUUCUUGGCUAGCAAUAAUAGCAAUCUAAUUCUGGAGGGCAUGAAAGGCAUUUGAAAAUAUGUAAUUUUUGAAAUAAAAUGCAUAAGUAGAUUAGUACCACAAUUAUUAGAAGGACAUAAAUUGAAUCAUUGUGAACAAUUAUCACAAAGCACUUGCCCAACUUACAUUCUUUCACCUUUAUUUUGUCUUUGUGUGGGUGCUGUGAAUUUUCUCCCAUUUGAUUAUGUCUGGGAGAAUCAGGUCCAAUGGAAAUCCUCAAAAGCUAUUGGCCAGAACUAACUAGAAGCCAGAGGACAAGGGAGUCCACUGAUGCAGCUCAUUCAUUCAGCCCCCAGCACAGAGCUGAAUGUAGAAUAGUGAUAAAUGGACAUGGAGUGCCACAGAGAAGAUACCAGGUGCAGUGGUUAGUAUGCAUGUGUAUAUCUAUUUAUCUAGCGUAUGUAUGUAUUAUACACUCAAUAAACUUUUGUAUAUAUUAUUUACUAGGUUUGUUUGGGGUGGGAAAGCUCUUGACUAAUCAUUUCUGAAAUAGUGUGUGGCUUCAUUUGUAGUUUUUCCUUUAAAAUGAAAGGAGAGAAUAAAAUUAAUGAAAGAUUUCAUAGACUUAACCUGUCUAAUGGUAUCUUUUAAAAUAAUUAUUUUGAACUUCCAAUGAAAUAUUUAAGAUGGAAAGAUACAUACUCUUCAAGGUAAAAUGAAAAAAUAUUAAUGCUUUAUGGCUCUAUGCUUUGCAUAAUUAUACUUAAAUAGAAUUUACCUUCCAGUGUCCGGUCUAUUGGAUAUUCAUUUUUCCUCAUAUUUCUGUUGUCUAUUGUAACCAGAAAAAGUUAAAAUAGGAGGUGGUUAAUUUCAUACCUGGUUAGACAUAAGAAGGUGUGAAUUCUUUCUCUCUUCCUUCUUUCCCUUCUUUCAUUUUCUUCCUUCCCUCUUUCCUUUCCUUUCUUUCCCUUUCCUUGCUUUAUUUUCUCUUUCAUGUGAAAAACUGAGUUUUCAUUAAAGGGAUAGUAAAAAUUCACUAAAGCUUUUUUAAUAUGAAUGUAGAGCACAUCUCAGUUCUUAAACAUAUUGACAAGAAGAUGUAAAAGGAUUUGUCUUAAUGUGCCUUUGAUUAACUCAUCAGAUUAGGAAACUUUAAAACAACAUUUAGGAGUUCGCAUUGUGGCUCAGUGAUAACAAGCCCAACUAGUCACCAUAGAGGACACUGGUUCGAUCCCUGGUCUCGCUCAGUGGGUUAAGGAUCCAGCAUUUCCAUGAGUUAUAGUGAGAUGCCACUCGGAUCUGGCAUUGAUGUAGCUACAGCUCUGAUUCAACCCCUAGCCUGAGAACUUCCAUUAUGUCACAGGUGCAGCCCUCAAAGACAUAAAUAAGUACAAAAAUCUAAGGUCUUUCCCCCCCUCCUCUGAGUUAUUAUGGAUUAGAUGUUGAAUUCUGAGUUGAUAUAGUGUGACUGUUUAAAUUAAAUGAUGUGUUGAUAUUUUAGCAGAAGUACUUAGAGAAAUCCUUGUCUAAAACAUUAUUGGUCUGUAGUGUUUUCAAAAUUCUAUCAGAUUACAUCCUGAUCUUCUGUAUUACUCUAUCCUUGCCUAUUAGGGGAAAAUGGCAUAAUAUUCUUUUUUAAACAUAAAUAAAAUAAUUACUUGGAAAAUUAUGAUGUAGAGCUACUUUAUUCAAAUUCCAUUGAAACACAAAUGGUAUUUGACAAUGAUGCAAGCAGUCAUUUUUGAUCAAAGAAUUAACUACCCAGUACUGUUUGCAAUAAGUAUCAUAUAAAAUUAUAUUUGUUCUAGAUAACCAUUCUAUUUGUUUAGUUCAUUUUUAUGAUCAACUGUUAAUGCAAGUUUCCAGAUAAUCAUAUGAUGAGGUAGAUUAGUGCAGUAAAUUUCUAUGUUAUUUUUUAAAGCACCAUGUGGAUUUUUUAAAUCCAGUGGAUUUUUUAAAGAGAUUUUUAUUAUAGUUGAUUUAUAAUGUUCUGUCAAUUUCUUCUGUACAGCAAGGUGACCAUAUAUAUAUAUAUAUACACAUAUAUAUUCUUUUUCUCACAUCCUUCAUCAUGUGACUAGAUAUAGUUCCUUGUGCUAUACAGCAGGAUCUCAUUGCUAAUCCAUUCCAAAUGCAAUGGUUUGCAUCUACUAAUGCAAAUAAUCCAGUGGAUUUUAAACUUGCAACUACUGUCUACUUUUACUAAUCCUUGCAAAUUUUAAAAAGGAAAAGUGGAUAAAUUAUAGAUACAGAUGACAUAAACAUCUAGAUACCAAUUUUUAAGCAUUAGUAAUUUCUAAAAACUGCUGAAUAAAAAUAGGCAUAAUUAUAUUCAUAUGUUUUUAUUUCCCAUACGUAUUUUAUAUCUCUUCUUGGUUUUCCAUUUAAGUCCUUACAUCAGAAGGUAAACAGUAAUCCAUGUUUAAGAUAAUUAUCCAUGUUCAAGAUAAUUAAUAGACAUAUCAAUUAUUAGAUAUAUCAAUUAUCAAUUAUUAAUUGAUAUUUUACAAACAGCCUACAAAAGUUUUAUUGUUAAGCCAUGGAAAAGAUUAUAGACACCACAUUAGGAGAUUAAUUUCAUUAGUCUGUAUCUUUGCUACAUUAUCUCUUUGUCUCUUCUGGAUAAGAAAACUACUUCAUUAAAAUCAAGGGUUUUUCAAAGUUGCAUUUUGAUGUAAAUGUAUUCAUUAUAGUUAUUGAACUGAAUUUAUUCAAAUUUGAAAUAUAUAUACCCUUUAAGAAAUUCCAUUCUCAGAACUUAGUCAACAGAAGAAAAAAAAUUACCAGUACAUAAAGAUACAAAUGGAUGGUAUUUAUUACCAUGUUGUUGUUAUUAACAAAAAAAAAUUGAAAGUAAGCUAUACAUCUAUCACUAAGGGAAUAUUUCAUAAAUUAUGGAGUAAGUAUUGUUUAGUCUGGAUCUUCUGAGAUACAGAAGAUUUCAUUGUGAGAAGGGUAUGUAGGAGGGAAAAUCUGGAAGGAACCAGUUAAGGCUAUAAGAGCCAUCAAGCGGCAAAGCAAAUCUGACCAGUGAGGAGAGGAAGAAAGAAGAUUGCCAGGCCGACUAAAGAAGGUUCAGCAGAGCAGUCAGUUAUCAAGCCAAGGUCAGCCAUCAGAGGAGCCUGUGUCAACCAGGAACAAACUAUCCCUUCCGCACUCAAUUCUUGGCUAAAGGCAGUUCGUGGGGGACAUGGCCUGUAUGCAAAUGCAGUGAUGAAUUUCACUAGUUUACUUUUACAAACCUUUCUAAGAUGAUUUCUAGCUACCUCCUUCCUCUGCCCCUCCUUGUCAUUUAUUCACCUUUUUAAAUUCCCAUGUAGCAGAGCAGGUUAAGGAUUCAUUGUUACCACAGCUGUGGCACAGGUUGCAACUAUGGCAUGGAUUUGAUCCCUGGCCCAGGAACUUCCACAUGCAGUAUAGUCCAGCCAAAACAGACAAACAAAAAAACCACACACACACACACACACACACACAACCAAAUGCAUUCAUUCAUUCAUUUGGUUAUUCUUUUAUUUCUAAAUAUGAAAAAUCUCAUUUUGAUUGCCUAUGGACCAAGUGGACCAAUGACUCAAAAAAGCAGAUACUUGCCUAAUUUCAUAAACACAUGGCCUUUGACAUUUUUCAGAUAGAGAAGUGUUUCUUGUCUUAUUUUCUUAGUGUUUUUGUACAAUUUAUGAGUCAAAGAGAGGCAGAUAGAAAAUGGCAGGAAUAAAGAAGAUGAUUCAUUCUCUAGGGAUGGAGCACUGUAGAUAUAAACAAUGACAACCUUAAGAGUAUCCGUUUUUGAGGGUCUUUGAGAGGUUUUAGAAUUCAAGUGAAAAAUCUUUUCCCCCAAGAGGCAAGAAUGCAAGUAUCCCUUCUUGUCCAUUGAACCAACACAGGUAUGUCUGUAAGCAUUAGUGAAUUUGAGGGAGAAAGCAGACAAAACUUUAGCUAUCAAUGAGCCCUAAGGCAAUACAAACCUUUAAAUUUGGGACAGAAGACAGAAGUUGAGAGUAGUGUGGCCAGGUGGUACUAGAUGACUAUAAAGAGACCCAUUUAUCAUCAAGGGAAUGAUAAUAGACAUCGUGCACAUUUGUUAUUGAUGGUAGUCUCUGUACAUCUGGAUCUCAGGCUGCUGAAAUCUGGAACAUAACAUACAGCACGCUCCCAUCUCAGCAUAUACCUUUCUAAGUUUAUCUUAGGCUCUUUAUUAUGUAAACUAUUUCCAACACAAACUGAAGAUUUUGGUUUUUCCACAUAUCUCCAAGUUUUCCCCAUAUUUAUGGCUAAUGGCACCAUUCUUUCAACAGGAUCCAUUUUUGUGUCUACAAACACAACCCAUCAGGAUCCAACUCAAAUAUUACCCACACACUUGCUCCUUAGAGUGGUCCCUGAACUAGCAGCAUCUUCAGGUGGUGUGAUAUAAAUGCCCAAUCCCAGUCCUCAUUGCUGCUUCCAACCUGAAAAGUUAGCUAAUAAAUUUCCCAGGUGAUUCAUAAGCACUUUGGAAUUUGAGAGGCACAGUUCUACAUUCUAAAGGCUUUUUGUAUUUCUUCAGUCUAAAAUAACCUCUUCCUGGUGUUUGAGAAUACUUUACAUUUAUUCUCUUUUUAAUGGGUUACUCACUUUUCUAAAUGAUAAUUCUCAGAUAAGUUGUCUUUAAGCCAAAGUUGACCCUCAAUACUUUUGUGGAGGCUGGAGUUUUUCAAAACUCAAUCAACCUUCACAGAUUAGGAGUUCCUAUCUAAAAACUGUACCUCAAAAUGUUUUUUAGAAAAAUCGGAACGUGGAGUUCCCAUCCUGGCUCAGCAGUUAACAAAACCGACUGGUAUCCAUGAGGACAUGGGUUCAAUCCCUGGCCUCACUCAAUGGGUUAAGGAUCCGGCUUUGCCAGGAACUGUGGUAUAGGUUGCAGACAUGGCUCAGACUCUGUGUUGCUGUGGCUGUGGCAUAGGCUGGCAGCUGCAGCUCUGAUUAGACCCCUAGCCUGGGAAUCGCCAUAUGCUUUGGGUACAGCCCUAAAAAG